AAAGCUCAAAUUUAAAAUCUGGCGGUCAUAUGGCUGUCCGAGUUGUAAUUUAGAGAAGUGCUAUCCGCGCUGGACCGUGUACAAGUCUCCUGGAAUGGAGCGUCAUAGAGGGUGAGAAUCCCGUCUUUGACACGGACUACCAGGGCUUUGUGAUGCGCUCUCGAAGAGUCGAGUUGUUUGGGAAUGCAGCUCAAAAUGGGUGGUAAAUUCCAUCUAAAGCUAAAUAUUGGCGAGAGACCGAUAGCGAA
rnacentral:rRNA from 1 species